UGCAUUGUUAAAUAUGCUAGUCCUUUCAUGAUUAGUGAUAGGUGGUGCAUGGCCGUUCUUAGUUCGUGGAGUGAUCUGUCUGCUUAAUUGCGUUUCAAAUUACUUAUAAGGUAGCAAUACGCGAUGAAGCUUUCAAUAGUCCUCACGGAUUCACUUGAGUCUCUCGCUUCCUAUCCUUUCGAAUGCAACGAACGUGACCGCAACCUCUUGUUGCCUUCGUUUAACAUCCUGCAGCUCGCUGUGGGUACUGAGGGCUUCACUCGGUGACUUUGGGCUGAGCAAUCGGUCUCUUUGAUCUGAUAAACUAGAGGGACCGCUGUCAACUUCUAA
rnacentral:rRNA from 1 species